rnacentral:rRNA from 1 species
UACGGGGGGGGCAAGCGUUGUUCGGAAUUACUGGGCGUAAAGGGUUUGUAGGUGGCUUGCUAAGUCAGACGUGAAAUCCCCAGGCUUAACCUGGGAACUGCGUGUGAUACUGGAUGGCUUGAAUUCGGGAGAGGGAUGCAGAAUUCCAGGUGUAGCGGUGAAAUGCGUAGAUAUCUGGAGGGAUACCGGUGGCGAAGGCGGCAUCCUGGACCGACAUUGACGCUGAGGAGCGAAAGCUAGGGGAGCAAACGGG